rnacentral:rRNA from 1 species
CGGAGGGUGCAAGCGUUAUCCGGAUUUACUGGGUUUAAAGGGUGCGUAGGUGGGUAGGAAAGUCAGUGGUGAAAUCUUCGGGCUUAACCCGGAAACUGCCGUUGAUACUAUUUAUCUUGAAUACUUUGGAGGUAAGCGGAAUAUGUCAUGUAGCGGUGAAAUGCUUAGAUAUGACAUAGAACACCAAUUGCGAAGGCAGCUUACUACACAGUUAUUGACACUGAGGCACGAAAGCGUGGGGAUCAAACAGGAUUAGAUACCCUGGUAGUCCACGCCCUAAACGAUGGAUACUCGACAUCAGCGAUACACUGUUGGUGUCUGAGCGAAAGCAUUAAGUAUCCCACCUGGGAAGUACGAUCGCAAGAUUG